rnacentral:tRNA from 1 species
AAGAAGGAUAAAGUUGUAAGAUUGAUUUGCACUCAACUGUUAUGACGUUGUCAUGCUUU